UGGGGAAUAUUGCACAAUGGGCGAAAGCCUGAUGCAGCGACGCCGCGUGAGGGAUGACGGCCUUCGGGUUGUAAACCUCUUUCAGUAGGGACGAAGCGCAAGUGACGGUACCUGCAGAAGAAGCACCGGCUACCUACGUGCCAGCAGCCGCGGUAAUACGUAGGGUGCGAGCGUUGUCCGGAAUUACUGGGCGUAAAGAGCUCGUAGGCGGUUUGUCACGUCGUCUGUGAAAUCCUAGGGCUUAACCCUGGACGUGCAGGCGAUACGGGCUGACUUGAGUACUACAAGGGAGACUGGAAUUUCUGGUGUAGCGGUGGAAUGCACAGAUAUCAGGAAGAACACCGAUGGCGAAGGCAGGUCUCUGGGUAGUAACUGACGCUGAGGAGCGAAAGCAUGGGUAGCGAACAGG
rnacentral:rRNA from 1 species